UGGGGAAUAUUGCGCAAUGGGCGAAAGCCUGACGCAGCGACGCCGCGUGAGGGAUGAAGGCCUUCGGGUUGUAAACCUCUUUCAGCAGGGAAGAAGCGAAAGUGACGGUACCUGCAGAAGAAGCACCGGCUAACUACGUGCCAGCAGCCGCGGUAAUACGUAGGGUGCAAGCGUUGUCCGGAAUUAUUGGGCGUAAAGAGCUCGUAGGCGGUUUGUCGCGUCUGCUGUGAAAAUCCAGGGCUUAACCCCUGGACCUGCAGUGGGUACGGGCAGACUAGAGUGCGGUAGGGGAGAUCGGAAUUCCUGGUGUAGCGGUGAAAUGCGCAGAUAUCAGGAGGAACACCGGUGGCGAAGGCGGAUCUUCUUGGGCCGUAACUGACGCUGAGGAGCGAAAGCAUGGGGAGCGAACA
rnacentral:rRNA from 1 species